GAACGCUGGCGGCGUGCCUAAUACAUGCAAGUAGAACGCUGAAGGAGGAGCUUGCUUCUCCGGAUGAGUUGCGAACGGGUGAGUAACGCGUAGGUAACCUGCCUGGUAGCGGGGGAUAACUAUUGGAAACGAUAGCUAAUACCGCAUAAGAGUAGAUGUUGCAUGACAUUUGCUUAAAAGGUGCAAUUGCAUCACUACCAGAUGGACCUGCGUUGUAUUAGCUAGUUGGUGGGGUAACGGCUCACCAAGGCGACGAUACAUAGCCGACCUGAGAGGGUGAUCGGCCACACUGGGACUGAGACACGGCCCAGACUCCUACGGGAGGCAGCAGUAGGGAAUCUUCGGCAAUGGACGGAAGUCUGACCGAGCAACGCCGCGUGAGUGAAGAAGGUUUUCGGAUCGUAAAGCUCUGUUGUAAGAGAAGAACGAGUGUGAGAGUGGAAAGUUCACACUGUGACGGUAUCUUACCAGAAAGGGACGGCUAACUACGUGCCAGCAGCCGCGGUAAUACGUAGGUCCCGAGCGUUGUCCGGAUUUAUUGGGCGUAAAGCGAGCGCAGGCGGUUAGAUAAGUCUGAAGUUAAAGGCUGUGGCUUAACCAUAGUACGCUUUGGAAACUGUUUAACUUGAGUGCAAGAGGGGAGAGUGGAAUUCCAUGUGUAGCGGUGAAAUGCGUAGAUAUAUGGAGGAACACCGGUGGCGAAAGCGGCUCUCUGGCUUGUAACUGACGCUGAGGCUCGAAAGCGUGGGGGAGCAAACAGG
rnacentral:rRNA from 1 species